AUUGAACGCUGGCGGCAGGCCUAACACAUGCAAGUCGAACGGUAACAGGAAACAGCUUGCUGUUUCGCUGACGAGUGGCGGACGGGUGAGUAAUGUCUGGGAAACUGCCUGAUGGAGGGGGAUAACUACUGGAAACGGUAGCUAAUACCGCAUAACGUCGCAAGACCAAAGAGGGGGACCUUCGGGCCUCUUGCCAUCGGAUGUGCCCAGAUGGGAUUAGCUAGUAGGUGGGGUAACGGCUCACCUAGGCGACGAUCCCUAGCUGGUCUGAGAGGAUGACCAGCCACACUGGAACUGAGACACGGUCCAGACUCCUACGGGAGGCAGCAGUGGGGAAUAUUGCACAAUGGGCGCAAGCCUGAUGCAGCCAUGCCGCGUGUAUGAAGAAGGCCUUCGGGUUGUAAAGUACUUUCAGCGGGGAGGAAGGGAGUAAAGUUAAUACCUUGGCUCAUUGACGUUACCCCCAGAAGAAGCACCGGCUAACUCCGUG
rnacentral:rRNA from 1 species